rnacentral:ncRNA from 1 species
AGAAAGGUCGAUAAUGCCUAAGGUAGCGAAAUUCCUAGACGACUGGGACCAUCCAAAAGGGAUGGAAAAUUCCGCUAUAUGCUGGAAACUCCGAGUAUCCAACAGUACCGAAAGGUGAAAAUCUGUUGGUGCGGACAAUCAGCAGGGAAGUCGUAAUUGACCCCUCAACGACUACACGCAGAAUCCUUCACGAAGUGGAGGAAUGAUAUAGUCUGAACUCUAUGGCGACAUAGAG